CGAAUUAGAUUUCGUGUCUAAGUGGGAACGCACUGAUGACGUGUCAAGUUAUGUAGAUGGAUUUGAUGCGAGAGGGUAUCGACGGGAGCCCAAUUUUGAAUAAGAACAACAAGGAUCGAAUCUUCAAUUGGAUUCAAUACUUUUUGAAUCAAUGGAUGAUCCUAUGUUUGAUAAUGACCCUAUUUUUAUAAAGAACCAGGUGAUCUUAUCUUUGAUAGUGAUCAUAUUUGUGAUGAACCAUUGGAUGAAAUGAAGACCUUGGAGUUCUCAUCUAUGACUAAGAAUAAGUUGCAAGUGAUGGUAAUGGUCGUCGCAAUGAUAGUAAUGACUAUGAUAGUGGUGGUGGUGAAGAGGUAAAAGAGGAGGCAAUUGGUGGCCGCGACCGUAAAGUACUAUUUUAUUUCACCAAUGUUAGGCUUGAUAUUUCCUGUUUCCAAUUAGAGCAUUCCGUUCCACAAAAGUUGUAUCCUACAGCUGGGUAUACCAAAAUCCUCAGCAACUUACUUGAGAAUAUUUUUUAGGAUAUUUUGAUCAAGUAUAUAACUCAUAGAUUCUAGGAUCAAGCGUCAAUGUCAACGUGCAAUAUUCGGGUUGGGAAAGAUGUUUUGUCUAGAGGAGGAUUCGUAUUAAUCCAUUUCAAAACUCAUAGAUGAGUUUUCUCCAACCAGGGGAUAAUGAUGGAGGUCAUGAGCUAGGUGAUUCAAAAAUUUAAAUUUAUUUUUUUUAAUUUUAUGGAUGUGGGUGUAUGUUAUGUUUAUUUUUACUGAGGUUGAUUUUUAGGAAUUAUAAUGG
rnacentral:lncRNA from 1 species